UACGAAGGGGGCUAGCGUUGUUCGGAAUCACUGGGCGUAAAGCGCACGUAGGCGGAUCUUUAAGUCAGGGGUGAAAUCCCAAGGCUCAACCUUGGAACUGCCUUUGAUACUGGAGAUCUUGAGUCCGGGAGAGGUUGGUGGAACUGCGAGUGUAGAGGUGAAAUUCGUAGAUAUUCGCAAGAACACCGGUGGCGAAGGCGGCCAACUGGACCAUUACUGACGCUGAGGCGCGAAAGCGUGGGGAGCAAACAGG
rnacentral:rRNA from 1 species